AACCGGUUCGGGGACAGUGUCAGGUGGGUAGUUUGACUGGGGCGGUCGCCUCCUAAAGAGUAACGGAGGCGCCCCAAGGUUCCCUCAGAAUGGUUGGAAAUCAUUCGAAGAGUGCAAAGGCAUAAGGGAGCUUGACUGCGAGACCUACAAGUCGAGCAGGGACGAAAGUCGGGCUUAGUGAUCCGGUGGUUCCGCAUGGAAGGGCCAUCGCUCAACGGAUAAAAGCUACCCUGGGGAUAACAGGCUUAUCUCCCCCAAGAGUCCACAUCGACGGGGAGGUUUGGCACCUCGAUGUCGGCUCAUCGCAUCCUGGGGCUGAAGUAGGUCCCAAGGGUUGGGCUGUUCGCCCAUUAAAGCGGUACGCGAGCUGGGUUCAGAACGUCGUGAGACAGUUCGGUCCCUAUCUGUCGCGGGCGUAGGAAAUUUGAGAGGAGCUGUCCUUAGUACGAGAGGACCGGGAUGGACGCACCGCUGGUGUACCAGUUGUUCCGCCAGGAGCAUAGCUGGGUAGCUAUGUGCGGAAGGGAUAAGCGCUGAAAGCAUCUAAGCGUGAAGCCCCCCUCAAGAUGAGAUUUCCCAAUUAGUAAGACCCCUUGAAGACGACGAGGUAGAUAGGUUGGAGGUGGAAGCACAGCAAUGUGUGGAGCUGACCAAUACUAAUCGGUCGAGGGCUUAUCCUA
rnacentral:rRNA from 1 species